GGCAAGCCUGGAGGCACACCAAUCGUAAGCCUGUGCGUACCCCUAGACACUCCCCUUACGCUGCCCUAUAAGAUCUUUUGGGAGACCCUAGGAGCCGUCUUUUUCUAGCCGUCUGCCAUGGCGGGUGGGUGAAAGACCCGAGCUAACAUGGGGUUAGCUCGUAAAACUACAAUAAAGCCUCAUGCAGUUUGCAUCAAGCUUUCGCCUCCAUUCUGUGUUUGGGGUGGCCGCCGUCCUGGGCUAAGAUUCUGGAAGCCUCAGCUUUCUGAGGGUCUAACACCAACUUGACAGGCUCUAGAAUUCCUGAGGAGGAGCUCCUAGAGGCCGUCCAAAGGUCUCCAAAGAAGAUGAUUCCAUCUGGAUUGUGGUAACACUAGCCAAUGGUUGAAACUGCCCCAUACCUCACCCGCCUCGAGGACCCCGCUGAGACUGUGGACAAGCAGGACACUGGAGAGCUCACUGCCCCUCUUUGCCUCACCAAGCAGAUUUCCACUCAGCUAAGACACCAUCCAUGAAUCAGCUGUGGACUACAAAAGGCUCCAAAUUGCCACGAGCCCUGGACCUGCUGAAAGCUGAUGUAAACCAGUCCAGCCAAUGUGAUUGGUUACACCCUGCCUCUUCAGCUGGGUCAGCAAACCAAAUGCUUCUGAUGAAGUCCACCCCCACUCCACGCCACCCCACCCCCCAGACUGCCCGAAUCAGCAACCCUUGGACUUUGACUAGCAUUACAGUUUUCAUGGGCCCUGACAACAUCUUAAUCUCAGCUGAAAAGCAGUUACAGUAGAGAUUGUAAUUGUAUCAGGCUUUCUUUUAUGGGGCCACCAUCACAAAUCAUGACACAGAGACUUAUUGAGUUAUGAAUGCUCACUCUUAGCUUAAACUCUUUUUUUUUUUCCAUUGUUUGUUUUUGUUUUUCGAGACAGAGUUUCCCUGUGAAACAGUCCUGAUUGUCCUGGAUCUCACUUUGUAGACCCUGCCUCUGCCUCCUGAGUGCUGGGAUUAAAGGUGUGGGUUUAAGCUCAUUUCUUGUUAGCUUUUAUAACUUAACCUGUUUCUCCUCAUCUACACUUUGCCUCAGGGCUUUUUCCCUUUCUUUCUGUGUAUCUUACUUCCCUGCUUCCUCCAGUGGCUGGCUAGCUGGAGGCUGCCCAGUUCCUGACCCCAGCCAUCUCCCUUUCCUUCUCCCUCAUCCUCUUCUCUCUAGAUUCCUUCUCCUAUUUAUUCUUUCUGCCCAUCAGCCCCACCUAUCUGUCUCCUUACUAGCUAUUGGCCGUUCAGCUUUUUUACUACACCAAUCAAGUGCCUAGGCAGGCAAGGUGAAACAGCAACACAUCCUUGCCUAGUUAAAAUAAUAUUCCACAACAGCACAUUGCCCCUUAUCCAUAACAAAAGGCUGAGUCUAAAGGAACUGGGGUCCUGCUGGAAGGGACCACACCUUGUUAUCCUGACCACCUCCACUGCUGUCAAGGUAGACAGAAUCCACACCUGGAUAUAUCACCCCAGGAAGCAUGUCACAGGGGAUAACAAUCUGGCUGCAGAAAAAUGGACUGUCACCAAGGCCUGAGAAGGUUCACUAAAGAUAAGACUGAUACAGACUGUAGACUAAUAAUGUUGUUUUGUCUGACUGUUUCCUCCUCUUUCAUGGGAUAUUUGUCUAGAUUCCACUUUAAGAGCAAAUACAAACUUGUCAUAAAUGUCUCACAGCUCCUGGCCACCACUUCUUCAGGCAGACUUUCCUUCCUUCACCUCCUGGUUGAAACUGCUUGGUUUGUAAGUGCUAACAGUUUGCACCCUUGCUUGCCUCCUUGGUAGGUGCAUCAAUCCCCAAAAUUCUGUAUCUUGGUGUUCCUCUUCCCCUGGAUGUAUGUUCAUGAUAGUCCAGUAUGGAGGAAACACUGUAUACACAGACACAGGACCUUCCAGCCUCCACGUUCAAGGAAAAAACUCGAAGUUUCUCUCCUUAUCCUCCCCAUAGUAAGUUUAGGAUUGGGACCAGCUGGAACGGCUCUCAGGGCAAAAGGCACGGCAAGGGCUGAUGUCAACUACAAAACAGGGCCUCAGAUAACCCAGGAUUUAUUUGCUUUACAAGAGUCUAUUGCAAAAUUAGAAGAACAGGUCGACCCAGUGGCCGAGGGAGUCUUACAACAUGGUAGGAUGUUUGAUCUACUUUAUACACAACAAGCAGGUUACCAUAUGUCUUGUGGGAAACUUGCUGCUUCCAUGCAAAGCACCCAGGAGUUAUCAAAGAUAAUCUGGCUGAACUCCAAAACCACCUCACACAGAGGGGAAAGGCCCUACAAGGAGGAAAUAAAUGGCUCCCAUUUCUUUCUUGGGUUCUUCCUGGCUGGGAACUCUGCUGUCAGCCAUUGCGGGGCCCUUAGUGCUGCUUUUCCUGCUGGUCACUCUUGGCUCCUGCAUCAUUAAGGCCUUAACCAGAUAUAUAAGUCCAUGUGAACAAGUACCCACCCCAGAGUCAAGGAUUUGACUUAGGAUAAAGCUCAAGGGGG
ensembl:lncRNA